AUUAUUAAAGGGCCGCGGUAUUCCUGACCGUGCGAAGGUAGCAUAAUCAUUAGUCUUUUAAUUGAAGGCUUGUAUGAAAGGUUGGACGAAAAAUGGACUGUUUCAAAUAAAAAGAUUGAAUUUAACUUUUAAGUGAAAAGGCUUAAAUAAAUUAAAAAGACGAUAAGACCCUAUAAAUCUUUACAUUUGUUAUUAUAGGUUUUGGAUUGUGUGUGUAAAAAAAAAUAUAAUAAAAAUGUUGUGUUGGGGCAACAGUGAUAUAGUAAUAUUAAUUGUUAAAAAUAAAAACAAAUAUAUUUGUUAAAUAAAGAUCCUUUUUAAAGAUUUAAAGAUUAAGUUACUUUAGGGAUAACAGCGUUAUUUUUUCUGAGAGUUCUUAUCGAAGAAAAAGAUUGCGACCUCGAUGUUGAAUUAAAAAUUCUUUUUAAUGCAGCAGUUAAAAAAGAAAGUCUGUUCGACUUUUAAAUUUUUACAUGAUUUGAGUUCAGACCGGCGUGAGCCAGG
rnacentral:rRNA from 1 species